GAUGAACGCUGGCGGCGCGCCUAAUACAUGCAAGUCGAGCGAACAGACGAGGAGCUUGCUCCUCUGACGUUAGCGGCGGACGGGUGAGUAACACGUGGAUAACCUACCUAUAAGACUGGGAUAACUUCGGGAAACCGGAGCUAAUACCGGAUAAUAUAUUGAACCGCAUGGUUCAAUAGUGAAAGACGGUUUUGCUGUCACUUAUAGAUGGAUCCGCGCCGCAUUAGCUAGUUGGUAAGGUAACGGCUUACCAAGGCAACGAUGCGUAGCCGACCUGAGAGGGUGAUCGGCCACACUGGAACUGAGACACGGUCCAGACUCCUCCGGGAGGCAGCAGUAGGGAAUCUUCCGCAAUGGGCGAAAGCCUGACGGAGCAACGCCGCGUGAGUGAUGAAGGUCUUCGGAUCGUAAACCUCUGUUAUUAGGGAAGAACAAAUGUGUAAGUAACUAUGCACGUCUUGACGGUACCUAAUCAGAAAGCCACGGCUAACUACGUG
rnacentral:rRNA from 1 species